rnacentral:rRNA from 1 species
UACGGGGGGGGUAAGCGUUGUUCGGAAUUAUUGGGCGUAAAGGGUGCGUAGGCGGUGCGGUAAGUCUGUAGUGAAAUCUCUGGGCUCAACUCAGAGUCUGCUAUAGAAACUGCCGUGCUUGAGUGUGGGAGAGGUGAGUGGAAUUCCCGGUGUAGCGGUGAAAUGCGUAGAUAUCGGGAGAAACACCUGUGGCGAAAGCGGCUCACUGGACCACAACUGACGCUGAUGCACGAAAGCUAGGGGAGCAAACAGG